rnacentral:rRNA from 1 species
UACGAAGGGGGCUAGCGGUGCUCGGAAUCACUGGGCGUAAAGCGCACGUAGGCGGCUUUCUAAGUCAGGGGUGAAAUCCUGGAGCUCAACUCCAGAACUGCCUUUGAUACUGGAAAGCUUGAGUUCGGGAGAGGUGAGUGGAACUGCGAGUGUGGAGGUGAAAUUCGUAGAUAUUCGCAAGAACACCAGUGGCGAAGGCGGCUCACUGGCCCGAUACUGACGCUGAGGUGCGAAAGCGUGGGGAGCAAACAGG